UACGAAGGGGGCUAGCGUUGCUCGGAAUUACUGGGCGUAAAGCGUGCGUAGGCGGUUCGUUAUGUCUGCUGUGAAAUCCCCGGGCUCAACCUGGGAAUGGCGAUGGUGACUGCAAGGCUAGAGUUUGGCAGAGGGGGGUAGAAUUCCACGUGUAGCAGUGAAAUGCGUAGAUAUGUGGAGGAAUACCGAUGGCGAAGGCAGGUCUCUGGGCUGACACUGACGCUCAUGCACGAAAGCGUGGGGAGCAAACAGG
rnacentral:rRNA from 1 species